UAACUUAUCCAUUACAACUGUAGUUACCGAGUGAGAUGGACUUUGAUGUACACUAAUGAAGUCUUACUCCUUCUCAAGGUGAUGGAUCAUCUUUUACCAAGAUAGGACAGCUUAUAUUCAUUAUAUCUUUUUAAUUGUACAACAUUACUGUAUAAUAAUUAUACUGAGAUAUUUAGCUGUUUUUUAAUUAGUAAUUACUGUGUGGUGUGUAAA